GAUUGGAAAGAAUGGAUAGGACGAAAGUGAAAACUAAAAUCUCCAUCUUCUGGCGCACAAAAGGACAUAAAUAGUUCGAGAGAUGUAGAAUACAAUCUGUGAGCCCCCUGUGAGACCCAAGAACGUACUGUGACUUUUUGGACCGAGACAUAUGAAUUGUUUUGGUUCUUGCGAAUUCAAACUUGGUUUCCCAUGUUUUAAGCUGCAGUACCGGAAAAUCAGAGGAAAAUAGUUUGGGAA